rnacentral:tRNA from 1 species
GAGGGUGUAGCUCAAGUGGUAGAGCACAUGCUUAGCAUACACAAGGCCCUGGGUUCAAUCCCCCAGUACCUCCU